UCGGUGCUGCUGGAGGUGGAUGCAAACAGCUUUUUUAAGCUGCUCGAGCUCCCACUUCCCCUGUGGGAAAGUGGCUCCUGAGCUCCACCGCGGUGCUCUGGGAAGCUGCACAAACCACUUCUUUCUCCUCCUUUUCCUUGCGUCAACUUUGUCCUUUGAGCUCUGCAAAAGAUUUCCUAAGUGCUUUUUCCCCCAACAGCCCCUGGUGUCUCUGAAGCUGCCCGUGUCCCUGUGAUGGAGCCCAAGGAGCAGCCAGGAGCGAACUCGCUCCAGCUACCUGCUCUGGUGAGCAAGCGUGGGAGGCUGCCGGGGAGAGGCCACAGGACAGAGAGGUCUCAGAGCACCGCACUUCAUAUGCUUUUUGAAGAUUUUUUAACCCUCGCUUGCUUGAGUGGCUGGGUUCGUGGAGGCCUUUUGGCCUUGGUGUUGAUGGCUGCACAACUAACUUUGGACAAUCCAGAAUAUCUCUUUUGAAAGAAGGCACGCAAACAUUACCACUGUUUUUUAAGUGUCUGCAGCUCACCAGGCCUGCCCUAAAAGCAGCUGUGUGCUCAUCUGGGUAGUCACGUCUUGCAUUUGCGUGUUCAAGGUCAAAGGACAAGCAAAUGUGUUCAAGUAAUGUCUGGAUUUAUUUCGUUCCGCAGGUGAGGGGAUGAAAUGAGGAAUAAUAGGAAGAUGUUCAGCAGCAGGAAAAUCCAGGGGUAAUACCCGAAAGCGGAAAGCUGUCCUCGAGAGAGAAAGCAAACAUCCUGGGAGGAUGAACGCAGGGCAGCUUGUCAAGGGAGGGUUUUUCAGCAAGUCCCUGAAGGCUGUUGCCCAGUGGAGCCCGGACCCCAUAAAGGUGCAGUGUGGUAGCACCUUGGCUACGCGGGUCCUUUGCAGUACAGGCUUUGCAUGAAAACAGUCACCGAACAGAAGCGCCACAACCACAGAGGCUGGGGAGAGAAGAGGAGGGGAAAGCUUUCAGUUAAACUUGAAUUAAUUAAUGCUUAGCUGACUCUCACCGGAGGGAAAUGACGGGCAUGAGCUUGCAGCUGUGUGUCUAGGAAGCUAAUUCCAUAGCCGUGAUUAUGAGUGAACCGGGGAAACCCUGUGCACGUCCCAGUGCUACAUUCAGCUUUCGUGUGCUGAGUUCAAGUUGCUUACCAACUGAGGAGCAAAAUGACUUUAAGUCUAAAUGUACUGAGGGACUCUCUGAACUGUGGAGCAGAAGUGCAGGGCAGUGUGUUAGUGUUUUCCUGGCUUAUCUAAAAUGCGCCUGAGACUCAGCCAAAUCCUGCAGGUCAGUGCCAGUUUUGCUGCUGAUUAAGAUUUUGCCGACCACACGCUGGCGUAUGCACUGGACUUUUGCCAGUGUCACUCUGUGGGCCAGGCUGUGAGGAGGUGCGAGUGCCAGCUCGUAGCUGGGCUUCCAGGAGAGCUAGGUGUUGAUGCAGGUGCUCCUGCAGAACUCUGCCUUGACUUAUAUAGUUGCUUGGGGUGAGGGGCUGGGGAGCUGCAGUAAGCUUGGUCUUACCAGCGUGUCUGUGUUCAGAGUAAGCACGUUGCUCUUCAGUGUGGUUAACAGGCACAGGCCUCCUGGGGUGCCUGAGGCCUUGGUGCGUGUCUCCAGCACCAUCAGUAAAGAGUGGAAUUUACUCCACAGGAAAGAGAUCAUUUACAAAAGGAAAAAAAUAAAAACCAAGUUGAGGCCUACUGAUGUUCAGGAAUAGUGAAUCUCCUUAAAAUGCUCAGUAAUUCCCUUUACUCUUACAUUUCAGGUUGCGAUCCACUCAUCAGUUGCCAGAGCUGUUCAGUCUGGAAGAGGGAAACUAAUCAUGGUGAUUUAAACAUGCCGAGGUUGGUGCCGUGUUUCACUGCAGAGACAGCAGCCUGAGAUAAAUCUGUAGCAGUUGUAGCCCCUCUCCCUGUUUUCUUGUACAGGCACUAAAUUGCGGCUGGCUGCCUUGCUGGGGUGGCGGCUGCUCUCCAAAGGCAACUUUUUCUCAGGCUUUGCAAAGAGGACGCAGGGCUGAGAUUGCUGAUGGGCUUCCCAGGCCUGGCCCCGAUGGAUAGAAGUUGUUUGCCCUGUUCACUGGAGUCUGUCGUGGAGGUUUGAUUGACAGCGCUCGGAUACACCGCUGUGCCCUGGGGGAGCCCAGUAGCUCUAAGGUGCCUAUUAGGACGUGACAUAGUUGGAAGUGCAGGUGCCGGUGUCACGAAGAGCCUGAACUCGUUGCUUGUUUUCUGCGUUUGGGUUUUGUGGGCUGCAGAAGAUGUGCCGCCCGGCUGAGCCGGAUGGAGGCUGCUGAGCACGCGGGGAGACGAGGGUCUAAUGAUCCACUGGACUCCCCCUGUUACUCAUAAAGAAGGGUUAUGACCUCUCUCAGCAGCGCUAUGCAAUCAGUGGUUCCUUGUAAUGCUGCUUUUCCAAUAGUGUCUACUCUGACGUAAUUUCUGCCAGUGCUACGGUGUGAGCGGUGAUGGCCACUCAUGGAUGCCGUAUGCCGAUCAAUUUUCAUCAUCCCUGAAGAGCGCUAGUUAAUCAGUCCAGGGCAUAUGUAAGGAAGUGGUUAUUACAUGGAAACCUUUAAAUUGUCUGCUGGCGGAUUGCCAUGAGCAUAGGUAGUGCUGGAGGAGUCGGUGACCUUCUGCCAAUGCUGAAUUACCCCUCGGCAGCUGCGUAUGGUGGCGAUGAACAGGAAGCAGAUGUAACUCAUGGCAAAAAACCCCAUCUCUACAAGGGGCCAGGGUAUCUCUACUUUUACUUUGGAUAAGGAAACUGCAGGUGAUGAUGGGCAGAGACAUCGCUGUGCUUUCGUUAGCAGUUCCCCUCAUCCCUGGAGGAUGCCAAAGAGCUGGAGAUAGUUUGGUAGUUGAGCUCUGCGCUGCUCAUCCCUCA